rnacentral:lncRNA from 1 species
UUGAGAACACUUACUAUGUUAUGUGACAUAUUAGGGGGUGUCUAGGUGUAUCUAAUUAAUUUAGUUAAUCAUGCAGAGAGAUGUUUUUAAGACCGCCAAUAAUUCAAAAACGAAACUAAUAAUUUACACCAAGUUCAAAAAGUGUUUUAAUACUUCUCUCUAUUUUAAAUUAUACAAAUUAGUAUGAGAAAAUACAUAAAAAAAAACCUUUGAACUUGGCAGGAAAACUUAUUUUAGCACUUAAACUAUGCGGGUAUUUAAAUACCCUUAAAACAUCUUUCAACUGAAUUAAGUACCACCUUAUAUAUACACUACCAGUUUCAUGGAUGGAAGGUGAUAGACACGCGCCACAUAAGCGCCACCUCAUUGACACGUUGACAACACGUCAGAUACGUUGACAACACAUAGUGAACGAAUUUAGUUUUUUUCCACUUUUUCCCCUAAUCAACAUGGGUAAUUGGAAAUACAACUGUAUAAAGAAAAAAGAAAGCAAAAAUAAAAGAAAAGAAGUUGAAUGAGCAAAAAGAAUCUUGUCCAAGAAUAAUGAGUAAUUUUCCGGUCAUCGGAGAUUUAUAUUAUCUUUUGGAAGUAGGUAACUUUUUUUUUAUUAAAUGGGUUUGAUAUUUACAAUUAAUUUGUAAAACUUGUGAAUUUCAGUAAAAAAUAGAAUUGUGAAAAACACUAUGUGUUCGAAAAGAAUUUCAUGCUUCCUCUUUUCGAGAAAUCUGAAGGUUUCCAACAACAAUUGCUGGAGUUAUUGUAGUCCUAUUAGGCAAAAAAAUGACAAAUAUGAAGGCUUUCGAACCUUUCACAUGCCGGCAGAGGUUCGCCUGAACAAUAGAAAAUACUAAAACACAUAAAAAGAAAGAAAAGAGGAAGAAUGGAAGAAAGUCAGGGAAAAGUAUCUGACCGGCGUUUUGUCCAUGGGUGCCGGCGUGGUCAAAUUUUUUUAGCGAGAUCUGAUGGUCUCACGAUGGCUGAUCUCUCGAAGCUUUAGUAGUGAUGAAGGAGGAACAAAAGGGGUUGGCCGGUAGGGUGAGGUCUGUCGUGGUUGAGCUUCAUUGAAUUCGCUAAUUAAAAAUGUCUUAGGUAGUUGACAGGUCUGGCCGGCGGUGGGAUAGAGAAAGAGUCAAGGUCGCAAAAAGAAGACAAAGUGGGACCCAUUUACUUUUUCUCUUCAACUUUUGAUUGUUUACGAGCGGAUAACUUUUUUAUUUGCCACGUCAGCUGCUAAGGUGAUAUUUGAUUCAGUUGAAAGAUGUUUAGGGGUAUUUAAACACCCGCAUCGUUAAGUGCUAAAGUAAAUUUUUCUGCUAAAUUUAAAGAAUUUUUUUUUUAUGUAUUUUCCCAAUUAGUAUAAAUGUCUGUUUAUAGUCUAUACUGCAUCAAUAUAUAAAGGAAAUACUUGAAAGUUGAAUCCA